UUAUUAGAAAUCUAAUUCAAUUUAAAUAGGACAAAAGUGCAGAAGUGCGAGAAUUGGUGCACAAAUGCAGUAAGAAAUAAACUAACACUAUUUUUAGAAGAUUAUAAUAUAAUGCACUAAAAUUUUUUUUUUUAUUGAAAUUCAUCAAUGCAAAACUUGAUUACUUUUACAACUUAUUAAACAUAAUCUAAAGAUUGCUAUUGAAA
rnacentral:misc_RNA from 1 species